rnacentral:lncRNA from 1 species
AUUUUCAUAAAAUUUUAACAAAGUAUUUACUUUGACCCUUUGACAAAAAUAUGAAAAUUUCAAAAAAUUUGAACCAACCGUUUUAUCAGAAAAAUUACACUGGUUAUAUAUCAGUUUGAGAAACACCGAUUUUGAUCAUUGAGAUGCUUAAUAUUCCCUUAACUACACAACGUUUUUAAAACGUUUAGCUGAUUUUACAGAGUUAUCUCCCUGUAGUGUUAGGUACCACC